UCAGGGCAUCAACAUUUGACUCUUGCCUG
rnacentral:piRNA from 1 species